rnacentral:rRNA from 1 species
CCUACGGGUGGCUGCAGUGGGGAAUAUUGCGCAAUGGGGGCAACCCUGACGCAGCGAUGCCGCGUGAGUGAAUAAGGCCUUCGGGUUGUAAAGCUCUUUCAGUGGGGACGAUGAUGACGGUACCCACAGAAGAAGCCCCGGCUAACUCCGUGCCAGGCAGCCGCGGUAAUACGGAGGGGGCGAGCGUUGUUCGGAAUUAUUGGGCGUAAAGGGCGCGUAGGCGGUCUGUCAAGUCAGAAGUGAAAGCCCCAGGCUUAACCUGGGAACGGCUUUUGAAACUGGCAGACUUGAGUCCGGCAGAGGGUGGUAGAAUUCCCCGUGUAGAGGUGAAAUUCGUAGAUAUGGGGAGGAAGACCGGAGGCGAAGGCGGCCACCUGGACCGGUACUGACGCUGAGGCGCGAAAGCGUGGGGAGCAAACAGGAUUAGAUACCCGUGUAGUC